GGUACACGAGCGGCGAACGGGUGAGUAACACGUGAGCAACCUGCCCCUGACUCUGGGAUAAGCGGUGGAAACGCCGUCUAAUACCGGAUAUGACCUACUACCUCAUGGUGGUGGGUGGAAAGUUUUGUCGGUCAGGGAUGGGCUCGCGGCCUAUCAGCUUGUUGGUGGGGUAACGGCCUACCAAGGCGAUUACGGGUAGCCGGCCUGAGAGGGCGACCGGCCACACUGGGACUGAGACACGGCCCAG
rnacentral:rRNA from 1 species